GCAACCCUUAUCCUUUGUUGCCAGCGGUCCGGCCGGGAACUCAAAGGAGACUGCCAGUGAUAAACUGGAGGAAGGUGGGGAUGACGUCAAGUCAUCAUGGCCCUUACGACCAGGGCUACACACGUGCUACAAUGGCGCAUACAAAGAGAAGCGACCUCGCGAGAGCAAGCGGACCUCAUAAAGUGCGUCGUAGUCCGGAUUGGAGUCUGCAACUCGACUCCAUGAAGUCGGAAUCGCUAGUAAUCGUGGAUCAGAAUGCCACGGUGAAUACGUUCCCGGGCCUUGUACACACCGCCCGUCACACCAUGGGAGUGGGUUGCAAAAGAAGUAGGUAGCUUAACCUUCGGGAGGGCGCUUACCACUUUGUGAUUCAUGACUGGGGUGAAGUCGUAACAAGGUAACCGUAGGGGAACCUGCGGUUGGAUCACCUCCUU
rnacentral:rRNA from 1 species